GAUGAACGCUGGCGGCGUGCCUAAUACAUGCAAGUCGAGCGAACGGACGAGAAGCUUGCUUCUCUGAUGUUAGCGGCGGACGGGUGAGUAACACGUGGAUAACCUACCUAUAAGACUGGGAUAACUUCGGGAAACCGGAGCUAAUACCGGAUAAUAUUUUGAACCGCAUGGUUCAAAAGUGAAAGACGGUCUUGCUGUCACUUAUAGAUGGAUCCGCGCUGCAUUAGCUAGUUGGUAAGGUAACGGCUUACCAAGGCAACGAUGCAUAGCCGACCUGAGAGGGGGACCGCCCACAUUGGACUGGAGCCAGGGCCCAGACCCCUAGGGGAGGAACCAGUGGGGAAUCUUCCGCAAUGGGGGAAAUCCUGAGGGGGCACCGCCGGGUGAUUGAUGAAGGUCUUGGGAUCGUAAAACUUUUUUAUUAGGGAAGAACAUAUGUGUAAGUAACUGUGCACAUCUUGACGUUACCUAAUAAGAAAGCCCCGGCUAACUACGUG
rnacentral:rRNA from 1 species